CUACGGGAGGCAGCAGUGAGGAAUCUUGCGCAAUGGGGGCAACCCUGACGCAGCAACGCCGCGUGAGUGAGGAAGGUCUUCGGAUCGUAAAGCUCUGUCGGAUGGGAAGAAAUGCGUAUCGGUUAAUACCCGGUACGCUUGACGGUACCAUCAAAGGAAGCACCGGCUAACUCCGUGCCAGCAGCCGCGGUAAUACGGGGGGUGCAAGCGUUGUUCGGAAUCAUUGGGCGUAAAGGGCGUGUAGGCGGCUAGAUAAGUCAGAUGUGAAAUCCCUGGGCUUAACCCAGGAAGUGCAUUUGAAACUGUUUGGCUUGAGUAGGGGAGAGGAAAGUGGAAUUCCUGGUGUAGAGGUGAAAUUCGUAGAUAUCAGGAGGAACACCGGUGGCGAAGGCGACUUUCUGGCCCUAUACUGACGCUGAGACGCGAAAGCGUGGGUAGCAAACAGGAUUAGAUACCCUGGU
rnacentral:rRNA from 1 species